ensembl:lncRNA
CAGCAGGGAGGGCCCCGAGCGCCGCGGGGCGACGCGCCUCCUCUGAGCGAGGACAGGGAGGACAGCCAGGAGGCGCAGCGGGCGAAGAAACACAAAAAGAGCAAGAAGAAGAAGAAGUCGAAGGACAAAGAGAGGCACCGGGACAGCGGGAACUCUGAGGAGGAGUCUGACAAGGAGGGCCGGUCCUCCAAACACAAGAAGAAGAAGAGGAAGAGGAGGCACGACAGCGACAGCGAGGCGGAGCGUACCCCCGACGGCCAGCGCAAGGCUCGCAGGGUCGGCGGCGAGGAGGAGAGAGCCGAGGGCGGCAGAAGGCGGUGUCACGGCGAUGACGGUCACAGAGGCCAUUCGCCGGAGAAGAGACGGCACGCCGGUGAAGGCGCCAAUGACUCCCUCGACCGACGGCUCGGGUCUUCGUCGCAGAACCACAACGGACACGCAGACCUGGGAAAUACUGUACAAUACUUCUAUGAUGGGGUGAAAGAAAGAAGAAAACUGUCAACAGCAAAGGAAUGAAACUCAAUCCCCCCCCCCCACACACUUUUUUUGGACGUGGUGCUUAAUCAAUGGGAAGACACUGAACUUUGACCCGCCGAUUUAUUUUGCCCAAAUUCUGUACACUUCUGGUUCACACGCUUUCACUAAAGAAAUAUCUACGACGGGAAUUAAAAGAUUAAUAUAUACUUGUACAAAUGCAAACAAAGGACAAAAAGAACCCAAUACCCCGACGCUUACACAUCUCAGCUGCUGCUCAGUGGAAGACUCAGGAAUAUAUAUAUACAUAUAUAUAUAUAAAUAUAUAUAUUAUUUAUAUAUAUAUAUAUAUAGAUUACACACACGCAUAACCAUGGUAACAUCCAUCUACUUCAGUCAAACAACCACAAUACGGGGGAAAAUAAGCGAACAAACGAACAAGCUAGCAAAUACUGAUGCGUCGCCUUGGAGAUAAACUGCUGUACCGUUGCAAGGUGGCAUGCAAGUUUCUUUUUGAAAGAUGUCACCAUAUCUACAUAUCGAUACUGGCACCAGAAGGAUUUCCAGUUUUUAUUGUUUUGUAUUUAAUUUAAUCGCUAUGGCAACAGACUCAUGGAUGGAAACUUUCGGGGGUGCUGAGAGGGACAAAUUAAGGAUGCCGCCACACGUUACCCUGGACACACUUGACGGCCAUUCCCUCCCCUUUGUUUGGUUUUUCUCCCUUAAAGCUUUUUUCGGUUUCCCCGGUUUCCCCAACUGCCUAAGUUUCCAUUGUAUUGGAUUUUCGUCUGUCGUGGAGGUGUUCUUGAAUUGUUGUUGUUGUCCCUUCUCCCUGCCCUCAUCUUUCUCCUACUUUCUUUACUCUAUUUCAAGCAUUCAAAAAAAAAGCAUAACAAAAAAAAAUCUUUUACUAUAUCAUGGAUGUGGAGAUUUUGUUUUCUUUUUUGGGUGUUUGAUUUUACACGUAAAAUACAGUUUUGUUUCUUCUAGCACCUCUUGAGAAAGAAUACUGUGAAUUUAAUGUCUGAACUGUACUAUCAGUUGUUUUUAUACAUUACUAGUCCUGUAUCAGGAUUAUCAAUAGGUUAUCUUUAUGUUGAUGUCGUUGCUUGGUUUGUUUUUAGAAUAACCACACCAUCAUUUAUUCCACAUUCUAUAAACGCAAGUCAACUAUAGGUAUGUUGUUUUGAUUUUUUUCCGUUCUUCUUUUUGUUUACUCGAGAAAAAAAAAAGUCAUGGUAAUGUCAUACCCUACAUUCAACAAUAGCAUGUCAAGAUUUAUACAUUGUACAUGGUAUAUAAAAAUGCCUUAAAAUACAUUUGUUAAUAUCAGAAAUUGUAAUUGUCUUUCUCUGACUUUGUCUCCAAAAUCAAAGUGAAAGUACUGACUUAUGUCAACAGUUUCAAAGUGCUCUUGGCUCCAUUUGUGCCGCAGCUUAAUUCAAGACCCCCAUUUUGACAAUAACUUGACGCUAUUGGUAUGCAAAACUUGAGUAACCUCUUGAUUGUGGUCUUUCUGUAGGAGUUCCUGUUGGACACAAAUACAAUGACUAUAGUUGAUGUUCAAUUGGAAGAAAUAAAUGAUUACUUUUUCUUUUAAUUGUCCAGAAUGAAUACAGGUCUGAAAGACGAAUGAAUUAGUCUACUUUGAGUUUCAGUAAAAACCAAAUCAAUAUCUGUAUUCUUUACAUUGGCACAACCUCAGGUGAAACAAUCACAACAGGCAUUCUCGUCUGUUCUACAUUUGUAUAUAUUAGAUGUAUGUUAUGCUUGUAAUGGGUGAUGAACAUCCAACCUAGUGGUGUAAAAGGGGGCCCGUUGAUACUGACAGAUAUAAAUGUGUUACAUCUUCUCUCCAUGGUACACAGUAAAAGGCGCUAUUAAAGACAACCGCAGGGUUUGGUUUGUUGGUGUUGAUGUGAUGGACACUUGGAUUGAUUCUGGACUUCGGGCGCCUGUUUUUCUCUGAUUCAGAAGAGGAUAUUUAAUAGUGUAAACCAAUUAAACCAAACCAGAAAUGGAACCAAGGGGAGGGCUACCACCAUGACUAUUGUGCUAACUCCUUAAUCACAAACAAAAAAUGCAGACUACCAUAUGUACAUAUUAUAUACAUGAGAAAUGUAAAAGAAAAUAACUAAUUAACCUUUUUGUUAAGGAUAAUUACCUUAAAUAAAUACUGAAAGGAAAUUGACUUGGG